UGGGAGUUCAUUAAGAGCAGGAAGCAGU
rnacentral:piRNA from 1 species